AAUUAGUGUAUGUUAAAUGGUGAAAUACUUAAUAGGGAAUCUGGUUAAAUUCCAGAACUGUCCUCGCAACUGUAAGUGCAGACGAACUAGCUGAUGUCACUGUAUGUAUGAUUGCAUAUGGGAAGACGCUAUAGUAGAUAUAAAGCACAAGUCAGGAGACCUGCCAUUAAACAUCGAAAUUC
rnacentral:ncRNA from 2 species